CCUACGGGUGGCUGCAGUGGGGAAUAUAGCACAAUGGGCGCAAGCCUGAUGCAGCCAUGCCGCGUGUGUGAAGAAGGCCUUCGGGUCGUAAAGCACUUUCAGCGGGGAGGAAGGCGUUAAGGUUAAUAACCUUGUCGAUUGACGUUACCCGCAGAAGAAGCACCGGCUAACUCCGUGCCAGCAGCCGCGGUAAUACGGAGGGUGCAAGCGUUAAUCGGAAUUACUGGGCGUAAAGCGCACGCAGGCGGUCUGUCAAGUCGGAUGUGAAAUCCCCGGGCUCAACCUGGGAACUGCAUUCGAAGCUGGCAGGCUAGAGUCUUGUAGAGGGGGGUAGAAUUCCAGGUGUAGCGGUGAAAUGCGUAGAGAUCUGGAGGAAUACCGGUGGCGAAGGCGGCCCCCUGGACAAAGACUGACGCUCAGGUGCGAAAGCGUGGGGAGCAAACAGGAUUAGAUACCCUAGUAGUC
rnacentral:rRNA from 1 species